ensembl:lncRNA
AAGCAGAAUGGGUUCUUAAAGCCAUUAAGUCAAGACCAUUGACUUCCUAAAAAGGAGAAUUUAGCUCAGCCAAAGCUUGAUCCAGUGAAACUUGCCACCAGGAUAUCCAGCAGAUCAGUCUGAAGGAGGAAGUAUGAGAAUGACUCUUUCUGGCCUUGUAAUCUCUGGGAUUACAGAGAGAUAGAUUGAUGGCAGACAGCAGAGUUUAUGUAGAAGAGAAUAAAGGCUUCAAGGCCAAAGUGGAUUCCUUAACAGCAAUUAAAGCUUUGCUGCUUUUCAGGUCAGACUUCUCAGUUAAUCGUGCUGGGGUCAUUGUUAAUGCCAGCCAAGCAUAGCAGAACACAUAACACCAACUCUAAACCACCUUUGGCAAGAAUGGAUGGUGUGACUCAUCUGCCUUCUGUGUCGAUUAGGAAGUGGAUAUUCCUUCCCAGAACCACACGGCUCCUGCUCUGCUGUGCAGAAGUGCACCUCAGUCUCCAUACCUAACAAAUUGAAGGCUCUUCUUGUUUCACAGAGCAUCAGUCGACGUCCUGCCCUCGCUCUCUAAAUUUCACCCAAGCCUUGCAAGCACCAGAAGUACGAGCGCCAGAUCCUCUCAUCUCCUUCCCUCCCUUGACCUCACCUCUGUGUCCCACACCUCUCCAGGCAGCCCAUGCACGCUCCUGAGGAAGAAUGUGGCCAAUAUACUGCCAAGUGCCGCUAAAUGGAAGAAGGCAGAGGAUAACAGAAAAUCAAAAAGACUGGAGGAAGAUUUCUUCCUGAUGCUGUAAUCUCAUGCUGCUGUUUAUCUCCACCUGUGACUUUGCUUAUUCCUUCGUCCCUCUAUAAAUCACUGCAGCUGGUGGUGCAUUCACCCAACCUUUCUGCCAGGAUGGUGUCAAACCUCUUCCCAUCAGACACCUGAACUGGUCAAUUCCUACCGCUAAACACCACUAUUUUGAAGAAGGAAAACUGAAGUGAAAGCAAAUUUCAAAGGUACUCAAGACUUGUGUGAUACGGCGCUGAGCUCUGUGCUCACACAAAGAGCUGUUGGUUUUAGGCAUGCUAAAUGAAACACAUUUUACAUCUGCAGCAGAGUAAGAAAAAGUCUCGUUUCUUUUGCCUGAACAAAAGGCAAAGCAUACAGCAGCUGCUGUUCUUGUAGUAAAGAUUUCAAAACUGAAUGGCAGUGCUCUCUCACUCCUAUUCAUUUGACAUUCAGCUUUCAGAUUGUGAUGUUCACUGUCAUAUUUAUCACUUAACUAUGAUGGGCUGUUUGGGGUGACAGUUAUGGAUGGAAGCAGCCACAGUUCUCACCACCUUUCCAGAUCCAUUUUAAGUGGUUUCUGCUCCAUCAUCACUAAGAGCUGAUGCUGCUAUUCCCAUAGUUGGGAGAUUAGAAGCAAUGUAUGAAUUCAGGCCUUUCUCCUUCCUGUGGUUGCCCUAUGGUCAGGCAGAGGAGACUUUCCCACUCUUUCAACCACUGCUGGUGAAAUGAGCCCCACAGUACGUGAUCGAGAGAACUGACUUCGAGCUUUGAUAGUUAUAAAUAGUAGGCACUGUAAUUGUCUAGCAGUUCUCCUGCAAAGAAGAGGUAAUUGUGUGGAUGAAUAAAAUAUUGGCAUUAAAAAAACAUUUUAAGCUUAAUCUCAAAGUAGCUGAUGAAGUAUUUCUAUGGCAGACCUGUCAGCUCACGUGCUCUCAGUGGUAGCUUCUCAUGCUUGGUUGGCUCUUUUGUAAGAAGAGAAAAAGAAUUAAAAAGAAAAAAACAAAAAUGAAACACACCAGAAACACAUGCACAGUACAGAAUGCACACACAACGAAACAGCAAAAUAAUCCUGAAAAUCAAAUGCGUGCAUUUGGAGAGGGCCUUCUGCACUUCUCCAUGUUACCCCUCAUGGGGAAGUUCCCAGCCCUGCCACUCAGGCAGACCCAGUGGAGGAGCUUUUCUCUCUGGGUGCCCAUCCCCAGCCUCACUGUACCUGACAACUUCAUGGUUCAGCCUGUUUCUUCUCCAGGGGGCAGAGCCAUGCUGCCUUCCCCUUCUGCAAGGGAUGAAGCUUCGGCUGCCAUUACACUGUGCUCUUGGAGAGACCUUCAGCUCAAACUGAUCUACAGCCUACCUGUGGGAUAGUCUUCAGCCUCCAGGCAGAGCAAAGCAGCCAGAGCACACCUGGGAGGGGGAGGAUCCUGAAAACUGCUGCUUAUGGGGUGGCAUCAGAUUACGACCAGUUCCUAGGAUUUGGCUCAGAGAUACAGAGGAAAGCAGGGAGGUGGGCUGGCUCCUCCAUCCUGGACCAAAAGUUUGAUGCAGGGAUUGGGUCUCCCACUGCAUCACUGCAUAGGAUGAGGGGAGGAGGUAGGAAAAGUGACUGGCAUUUUGAGAUCAUUGAUAACCUUCAUGAGGCAUUAGUUUUAUUUAAUACAGAGUGUCAUGUCGGGUCCAGUAUUUCAGGGACCGAUUUAAGAUUUAACAGCAAUUCACAACGCUAACAUCAGCCAAAGCAUUUCUGUUUGGAUUUUAGUUCUCCAGCAGAAGGAUGACAGCACUGAAGAUUAAAGCUUUUUUUUACCCCUCCUUAAGAUCUCAGCAAAGUGCAGAUUUGAAACACAGAAAGAGGUUGACCUUCGUAUUAACCUGAAUCUCUUUUCCUGUUUCUUCUUGAACAUAUUUUAUUCUCUUUAUGCACAGUGGGGCUCUUUUUUUCUUGUGUGAGGCUGUUGAAUGAAAUGCCAGAAAGAUGGAGUGUGCACUUUUACAUCAAAGAAAUGAUGAGACCAUAAAAACUCAUUUCCCUUGUGACUUCUUAAAUUGUUGCUAAGGAAUUGAAUGAGUCUGUUUGAAACAAUGUGUCCCUUUAAAUUCUGUUUUCUUAUUUGUCUUAAAACACAAAGCCACAGUUUCUUGUAGACCCUGAUUCAAAGGCCACUCACUGAAGUCAAUAAAGGUUUCUUAGUCACUGUGUUUAGAUGUAGGUCAGAUUUUUCAAGUAUUCCACUAUGUAGAACCCAGGCAGACUGAUUUCAAAAGUUCUGGCUAUUCACAGAAAGAAAGUAAAAGGUCUAGUUUGUUUUUGUUCAUUCAGGUGGUUAAAAACGUCCCCUUCAAAUGGGCCAGAAUUGAGUCAACUGUCAACUGCUGAGCAGAACAAAUCUGACAGGGGCAAGUAAAAUGAAGCAGUAGUUAAAUUCAGAAAUCCAAAGAAGUAAAAAUGUUGAUUUACUUUAGUUUUUCUCAUGCACAGUGGUGACGUGCAGUAGAAGCACAAACAAAGCCCACGGUUCAGACUGUUGGAGGGAAACCCUGCCUAUUUCUGUGUAACAGUUUUGGGCAAUCACUCUCGCUGCUGGGGUGAAUGGUUUGUUAGUACUAUAACCCAGUGAGUUGCUAGAAAUGGUCUUGAUUGGAGAGCAUUGUAAAGCAAUUAAGUUCUGACUAUUAACAAAGCUCCCACAGAGAGCAUUAAUUUUUGAAAGUAGACAAAGUCUGCGCUACGACUUUCUAGUGACUGUGUGGAAGUGUGACCAGAGUGAAAUAUGGAAACUGCUACAGUAAGUCUCAACUGUUGUAGAUAUUCCUUAUCAGUUUCCAGGAAAAGGUUUUAAAGUUCCAAUUUAGAAAAGCAUUUAAAUGUAUUCUGAAAUUUAUUUCAAUUUAAUUGGAUACAGGUUUAACAAAUUGUUAAGUUUUUGCAUAAUAAGUAGCAAUUUAAGUAUCUUCUUAUAGAGCUGGUUUGGAUUUCAUUUAAAUAUCCUUUUCUCGGAAUUGGAGCCUUAGUCAUCUGAACUGUAAUGGGAUUUUCUGGGUCUAAAAUCCAGAAAAUGCCACUUUGCUCUCAGACCCAAGUCAGUCAUCUUCAUCUAUGAGAUACCCAUAUUGUGUGCACACGUUCCUUUCCAGAACUCCAGCCGCCUGGGCUCUUUAACUUACUGUUUGUUUCUCUCUGCAAAGGCGUAUGAUAUUUUAAGCAGGUAACUUAACAGUGGUUCAAAAUAGUGAUUUCUUGUGUUAGCCAGUGUAAGAAAAAUCAUAGAAUCAUAGAAUCAGUCAUAGAGAAAUGCCAUGCUGAAGAUGCUAAAACCCCAGAAUGGAGGUCUCCAUCUCUGAUCGUUCUCAGAGGUUGAAAUUGCAGUUCGUCAUCUUCCCAUCUUUUGUACCCAAUUUCUGGUUGCUCUGCUCUGUUUUAUGCCUUGAAAAGGACAUUUGCUUUAAUGGUCCCAUGCUGGGAUUUCAGAACGAUGGGGAAACAUUGCUACCAGUAAAAUAUGUGGAACUAUUUUCAAAACGUUGGCGUGAGCCAACAGGACCUAUCAAAGCCUUUGCAAAAGCAUAAAACCAACUUCUCGGAUUACAUUGUUUAUAAUUUCUCUUGGGUUAUUUCCCAAUAACACAGAAAACGUGUGACUCUUUUUGUAUCCGAAAGGAGUUUGGCCAGUGCUGAGGUGGGAGCACAGGAUCUUUACCAAACAAGGCUCCAUGUCGUGAUGGGCAGUCUUUAGGACUCUGAGUAACUGAAUGCUUGUAGCACUUCACUUUCUGAAGAUAGAUGAAGCGUCUUCUGAAUUACAUGUGGUUUUUUUAUGGUUUGUUGUCUUGUUUUUCUCCUUGUAGUGUAAUUCUGAACCACAUGAUCAAGCCAGGUGUUAUUCCAUGCUACUGCUUCUGAAAAUGCAGAUGCAGCAGAUGCAGGCAUACGGGUUCAGUGAAUCAGGAACAGAUAAGUGUCAACUUUCCUCUGUGGUUGUGGUUGCAAAGACCCUUGUGCUGAACGUUUAUUCUCUAGUGUUUAGAAAGGAACAGUUUGAUUAUAGCAGUACUUUGUUUAAAAAAAUUUCUUGAUAACUACACUGAAAGUGGAUAUUUUCUGCUAUUACUUAAAACUCAGUGUUGGUUGCAAACCCAAAGAAAACAGGUACCCAUGUUCAAUAGCCAUACCUAAUACACUGUUGUGUUAGAUACCACAAUCCUAAUUCCAUAAGAUGGUGUUCUUGGAAACAGCAGAAAAUCAGCAUGGAAUAGAAAAAAUUUCCUCCAGAAGAUGCAGUUUCCAUUGUAAAACCAGUCGUUUGCAUUUUUAACAUCCCACCUUGCUAGUUUUUCUUCUUCUAUUGGGAAGAAGUUCAUAACAAGUUCACUCCUUUUAAUCUAAGGAAAAUGAACAGACCUCCCAGAGUUGAAAACCCGCUGUACAAACAGCAAAAUUAUUCUGACUUCCAGGAGUAAUUUAAUUAGAAGGAUUCUUCAGAGUGGCUUUUUUUUUUUUUUUUUUUUUUUUCCAUUAGAAAAUGUGGUGUUUUUCACGCUG